GUGGGACACAAAACCAUUGCACAAAAUCAGUGUGUUUAUAAUAAACAUUCCCUAUGUUAAGACCAUGCAUGUGUUCCCAGUCUCCAUACAUUCCCCAGGCCUGGUUUUAUAGAUAUGGUGAUCAAU
ensembl:snoRNA SNORA72 Small nucleolar RNA SNORA72